AUGGUGGUCGGGUGGGUUGCGACAAGUGCGGUCGGAUAUCUGUCGGGAUCUGUGGUGUGGCGGUGUUGGGAGAUUGGCGGAGGGAGUUUAGUAAAGAGUUACGAUCAUCAGAGGGAGACAAAGAUCGCUGGGAUCAGAGUGCGUGGUUGCUUUGAUCUGUGGGAUGCGGCGGAGAAGCUUCAGACGCGGGUUUGGCGAUGGUUGCAGGAGAUUGGAGUUCGGUAUUUAGAUGAUGAUAAUGAGUGA